UGGGAUGUCGUCCAAUGGCAAGACUACGGAUUCUGAUUCCGUCUAUCGGGGUUCGAAUCCCUGCAUCCCAG
rnacentral:tRNA from 1 species